UGCUGGUCUUUGGCCUGCUCUGGUUAGGUCUGUUGUGCUUAUGAAUACUGCUGGUUCAAUCGUUCCAAGCUAUUCCUCAGUUCCAUUAGCAGAAGAAGGACAAACAUCAGGUGUCUCUUGGCUUGGCAGUCGAAUCCUAUCAUUUUACUUGAAAAUGAGUGUAGGGAGCAUAGUGAAGAAUUGUUAUCCAAGUAACAAAGGGAGAGCUGAUGAUUGGCUUAUUAAUGAAAUGCUAAGGGAA